UUGGUUCUGCCUCGUUCGUGAUGUUUUUCCCGGACCAGAAUGAAUACCAGAGGGAUCCUGCGUUCAGUUAAUGAUAUCAUGCUUCUUUUAUUUGAAGUAGAUAGAUUUAAUUGGUAGGGAACCCACUUAGAAAUAAGGCCUCUGGGAUCCUCCAAUAACGGCGAGGCGGUUCCACC
rnacentral:other from 1 species